GCCGACCUAGCUCAAUUGGUAGAGCAACUGAUUUGUAAUCAGUAGGUUGCGGGUUCAAGUCCUGUGGUCGGCACCA
rnacentral:tRNA from 1 species